GACAGAGGGGGCAAGCGUUGCUCGGAAUUACUGGGCGUAAAGGGCGCGUAGGCGGGAUGGCAAGUCGGUCGUGAAAUCCCUCGGCUCAACCGAGGAACGUCGAUCGAUACUGCUGUUCUUGAGGAUUGCAGAGGAGACUGGAAUUCCCGGUGUAGCGGUGAAAUGUGUAGAGAUCGGGAGGAACGACCGGUGGCGAAGGCGGGGUCUCUGGGCAAUUCCCUGGACGCUGAGGCGGCGAAAGCGUGGGGAGCAAACGGG
rnacentral:rRNA from 1 species